CGAACGGGUGAGUAACGCGUGAGGAACCUGCCUCAAAGAGGGGGACAACAGUUGGAAACGACUGCUAAUACCGCAUAAGCCCACGGCUCGGCAUCGAGCAGAGGGAAAAGGAGCAAUCCGCUUUGAGAUGGCCUCGCGUCCGAUUAGCUAGUUGGUGAGGUAACGGCCCACCAAGGCGACGAUCGGUAGCCGGACUGGGAGGUUGAACGGCCACAUCGGGACUGAGACACGGCCCAG
rnacentral:rRNA from 1 species